AUUGAACGCUGGCGGCAUGCUUUACACAUGCAAGUCGAACGGCAGCGCGGGCUUCGGCCUGGCGGCGAGUGGCGAACGGGUGAGUAAUACAUCGGAACGUGCCCAGUAGUUGGGGAUAGCUCGGCGAAAGCCGGAUGAAUACCGCAUACGACCUGAGGGUGAAAGCGGGGGAUCUUCGGACCUCGCGCUAUUGGAGCGGCCGAUGGCAGAUUAGCUAGUUGGUGGGGUAAAGGCCUACCAAGGCGACGAUCUGUAGCUGGUCUGAGAGGACGACCAGCCACACUGGGACUGAGACACGGCCCAGACUCCUACGGGAGGCAGCAGUGGGGAAUUUUGGACAAUGGGCGAAAGCCUGAUCCAGCAAUGCCGCGUGUGUGAUGAAGGCCUUCGGGUUGUAAAGCACUUUUGGCGGGAAAGAAAAGGACUGUGCCAAUACCACGGUUCGAUGACGGUACCCGCAGAAUAAGCACCGGCUAACUACGUG
rnacentral:rRNA from 1 species